ensembl:lncRNA novel transcript
GUAAUAAACAAAAAUGUAAGGCAUAAAAAUCUUACAGAACAAAACUAAUGUAUACCAUUGCAUUUAAGAAUAUUUUUCAUGAUUUGUAAACUAAAUGUCAUAGAAACUUACCUCUGAAUACAGAUCUGAAUACAGAGUAGGCAGACCAGGAUUUCAGACUAUUUUUUCUAUUAAAAUGUUCACAUUUGAUUCUGUUCUACCUAAAAAUUUAGGUUUUUCAAACACAAAAACCUAGGUGGCAAUUUUAAUAUUCUGUAGUUAGAUCAAUCAUGAAAGUCUUAUGAUAUUUGGUUCUGUAUUAUAAGAAAUAAACAUAAUUAAAGGAAAUUGCCUAGCACUAAUACCAGUUCAGUUUUCUCUGAGUUUCUCUUGAUCUUAUGUGACUCAUUUGGUUGAUUUUGAUUUCCAGAGUAACGAAAUUCAGAAGAAGCAAUCAGGGACUGUGUGCACCAACAUUUCACUAUGAAUUAGACCUAGAUCCUG